ensembl:snRNA U6 U6 spliceosomal RNA
AUGCUUGCUUUAGCAGCAUAUAUACUAAAAUUGGAAUAAUAUGGAGAUUAGCAUGGCCCCUGUGCAAGGAUGACAUGCAAAUUCAUGAAGUGUUCCAUAUUUUU